AAUUAAGUGUAGCUUAUUUUUAUAUACAUUCAAGCAUCAAUAAUCAAAUGCUAUUAAAAAAUCAUUAAUAUAAUGAACUUGGGUACACAUCUGAUGGAAUUGGUUCAGAAAUCCGAUAUUUCAGGCCGUAAAUUCUUCUGAAUUGAUGUGAAUCUUAGAUUAGUUCGCCGGGUAGGCUGUUGGUGCUUGUUUGGUGGAAAUAUAAAAUGGAAUUGUGUAAAAAUGUAAUACAAUCAACUGAAUGAUAAUGGGAAACUUCUUUAACUGUGCACUCUGUAAGUGUGUAAAGACUAUGAACAGUUGCGAACGAAUGUAACUACAAUUACUGCAUCGGUUUCCUAACCUGUACUGGUUUUGGAUAGUAUUUAUCUAUGCUAAAGGUUGUGUUGUCGAUGGUAGUUCGCAGAGAAAAAACUAAUAAAAUUAUUCUAAUAAUAGUCAGACAUUGUCUUUGCCGAAAAAAAUCUAACCAUAACCGCUAGAAGGUUUAAGUGAUCAAUGCUAGUUAAGAAAAUAAUCUAUGUUUACUCUGAGAAUCGUAUAAAACCGAUAAAUAGUUACGGGCAAAACGCAGAAAUACAGAUUGCUAAAUCAGGUGGUACAUAUAAUAACCUCAAAGCUUUAAAGAGGGACUUGUUUAUAUUAUUUUCUGUUAACUUUGAAAAAGUUACAGUGGAACCACGGUUCCGGAGAAUUUGACGUAAAUACGUCUAUACGUUAAUAUGAAGAAGAUUCAGUUUAAUAUUAUGGUGAACGCUGCUGUAAACAUCUCACACCUAAUAUUUCUCCAGUUUUCUCAGCAUAUGAAAUUGAAUACUUGUGUUUCUCGCCAAGAGUGACAGGUCUUAAGUUACAAAUCACAUUAACCGUAAACUUUACUGUAUCUGAUGCGACAGACUUGAGGCAGUCAAAUGGAGAGUUAACACAUACCACACCAACUUGCAGGACCUUGGAAUGUCCAUGGAGGAGCUGGUUGUCCUUGAACAUCAGCUAGGUGCUGCUGCAACAAUUUUCGUGCCUCGUCAUCUUUCGUUAGAGACAAUGGUGUGUGGCCACUGUAUGUUGCCAGAAGAGGAUCAGCUCCAUACGAUAAUAACAGGCGAAUCAGUUCUGUAAAGCCAUUCUCAGCAGCUUCAUGCAAGGGCCUGCGAAUACAGACAAAACUCAAUUAGUAACAUUUAAUCUGUCAAAAUGUUGUAUUAGAAAUUAUAUUAUCUUACUGAAAACCAGUUUGAGUAACUGUAAAACAGAAAGGUAAUUAAUAAUGCAUACCAGUCUAGACUGAAAGGAAAAAGACACUAUAAAAUAAAUAUUCAAGCUUCCUUUCAUGUGUUACUUCCUCAAGAAGAAUCUUGUCAAGUACAACAGGACCAUCUGACAAAACAAAAUGUGUAUCUGGGAAAAAAAUGCAAAAGAAAUCAACAAUAAUGAUGGCAAUGUUGAUGAUGCUAUUCCACUUUUUUUUUUCUUUUUUUUUCUUUUUGUUGCUGCUGCUGUAAUUACAGAGGUUAUUCUUGUAGUUGAUAUUUUUAUUUUAAGCCCCUUUAAUACCUUUAAUGUGUCCACUCAGACAUAUAACUAAACAUUUUUAUACUAUUCAACUGAGUUUGGGAAUGCAAUGUUCACAUAUCCCUUGGAAUAAUAUGAUUGUACUCCACCAUGUCAUUAAAGUGCUUGAUGAUGAUAAACACA